rnacentral:lncRNA from 1 species
ACUCUGGGUUUGACCUUGUGACUUGCUUUGGUCAACAAGAAACAGGAUGUUAGCAGAGACUUGAAAAGUGCUUGCUCAUUCUGGCUUGCCAUCUUUUGAUGCUCUUGGGAAUCCAGCAGCUGUCACCAUUAAACAAGCCCAGGCUAGACCAGUUACCCUCAUCAUCUUAGCUGAUAGCCAGCCAGCCACCAUAGGCAUGAGUCAGGCCAUAGUGCUGGACCCACAGAAUUAUGAGCUAAAUAAGUAGUGUUGGGUUAAGUCACUAAGUUUUAGGCAUAGUGUGUUAUGUAGCUCACAAACAUAUAAGACUGUGUGUUUUUUGACUGGAGGAAGAGAUGCCAUAAAGACCACCUUUUGAAACUUCUCAAAUACUGCCAUUGAUGUGCUGAUGGAGGGCUGUGCUGAUCCUCCCGCCUCAGACUCCCUAAGUGCUGAGAUGUUGCAGGAAGUCAGGGACCCCAAACAGAGGGACUGGCUGGAGCUGUGGCAGAGGAACAUGAAUUGUGACAAUUUCUUUUUAAUAUGGACAUUUGUCAGUUCCCAAAUAAUACUUUUAUAAUUUUAUAUGCCUGUCUUUACUUUAAUCUCUUAAUCCUGUUAUCUUCAUAAGCUGAGAAUGUACAUCACCUCAGGACCACUGUGAUAAUUGUGUUUUCUGUAUAAAUUGAUUGUAAAACAUGUGUUUGAACAAUAUGAAAUCAGUGCACCUUGAAACAGAACAGAAUAACAGCAAUUUUUAGGGAACAGAGAAGACAACCAUAAGGUCUGACUGCCUGCGGGGUCAGGCAAAAAGAGUCAUAUUUUUCUUCUUGCAGAGAGCCUAUAAGUGGACGUGCAAGUAGGAGAGAUAUCACCAAAUUCUUUUCCUAGCAAGGAAUAUUAAUAUUAAUACCCCGGGAAAGGAAUGGAUUCCUGGGGAGAGGGCUAUAAACGGCCGCUCUGGGAAUGUCUGUCUUAUGCGGUUGAGAUAAGGACUGAGAUAUGCUCUGGUCUCCUGCAGUACCCUCAGGCUUAUUAGGGUGGGGAAAAACUCUGCCCUGGUAAAUUUGUGGUCAGACUGGUUCUCUGCUCUCCAACACUGUUUUCUGUUGUUUAAGAUGUUUAUCAAGACAAUACACGCUGAACAUAGACCCUUAUCAGCAAUUCUCCUUUUUGCCCUUUGAAGUAUGUGAUCUACUCCCUGUUCUUAGACUCCUUCCCCUUUUGAAAUCCUUAAUAAAAAACUUGCUGGUUUGAGGCUCAGGUGGGCAUCACAGUCAUCACAGGCAUCACAGUCCUGGAGUGAUACUUGAUGUCACCCCAAGCAGCCCAGCUGUAAAUUCCUCUUUGUACUCUUUCUCUUUAUUUCUCAGCUGGCCAACACUUAUGGAAAAUAGAAAGAACCUACAUUGAAAUAUU